rnacentral:lncRNA from 1 species
AGAAGAUAAUGACUGAUAAGUGCAAUUUGUGUAUUUAUUUAUAUUACAUUAUUGAACUUUUAAGUCGUCAAACUAUUAAUUUCUAUUUAAUUUAGGUUGGGUUUCUUUUGCUUUUAGUGAGGGACUCAUUGGAAACAAUUGAACAGAAAGAACGACGAAAAUUUAAUAAAAAUGCAAUUAUGGGAUCAAAUUACACUUGUAAGAAAUUGAAGGACUAAGUUGCAUUACUUAUAAGAGAGUGAGCCCCUGAAAGAUAAAUUGCUACUAAUUGGACUUUUACUUGUCACCAAAGUAAAUAAUUAGUGGACAUUGAAUUGGGCUAAAACUAAAAUGGCCUACUCUGAUAUAUAUUACAUGCGCCAAUUUGAGGGGAGGGAGGGAGAAAAAAAAAACAUUGAAGCCCCUUUUAGUGGAGUUAACUUUGGGGAUUUUAUAUAGAGAUAAUUGGCAGCUGCAUUUGGGAGGCUGGGAACAAAAACAUUGGCAGAAGGUUGGAGAAAUUGAAAGAAAAUUGCAGCUGCCUUGAUAUAUUCCACACGUGGACUUGGACUCCAAAAGAAAAAAAGAGGGCUGCUUUCUGCUGUAAUAUAUACACACACACGCAUAUUGGCAGCCGGGGGGAACUGGGAGGAAAAUAAACUACAAAUUGGUGGUUGCUUUUAAGGAGAAAUUGAGAGAUAACUAUCGCUGGCUGGGAGAAAAGAAACAGUUGGAAUUUCACUUCUUUUGGAGUCAACAAAACUGGCAGCUUGGGGGAGAAAAGAAGGAAAAAUUUGGGCGGCGGCUUGUAGUAAGAAAUUGAGUAACAUUUGGGCAUUGUUUUGGUAGUCAACUAUUGUGGCUGGACUUAAUAUAUACAGCAAUUAGAGAAGCCGAAAGUGGAGCAGAAACGUGGAAGCAGCUGCAGGUUUUGUUGCAUGGAAUUACACACGCACAGAGGCUAAGAAACAUUGAGCUCCCGUCAAGUUUUGGUGAUUUCCUUUCACUUUUAUUUAUUUAAUCCCAACAUUAUGAUGGGCUAAAUAUUUUCAUGUAUUUGAUGGAUGACAAAAUUGUUUAAUUCUUAGUUUUAAUUCGAGACCUAUAUUUUUAUGUUAAUUA